rnacentral:rRNA from 1 species
UACGAGGGGGGCGAGCGUUGUUCGGAAUUAUUGGGCGUAAAGGGUGCGUAGGCGGCCUGACAAGUCUGAUGUGAAAUCCCUGGGCUCAACCCAGGGCCUGCAUCGGAAACUGUCGGGCUUGAGUAUGGGAGAGGUGAGUGGAAUUUCCGGUGUAGCGGUGAAAUGCGCAGAUAUCGGGAGGAACACCGGUGGCGAAGGCGGUUCUCUGGGCCUUACCUGACACUGAGGAGCGAAAGCGUGGGGAGCGAACAGG